rnacentral:rRNA from 1 species
UACAGAGGGUGCGAGCGUUAAUCGGAAUUACUGGGCGUAAAGCGCACGUAGUCGGCUUUGCAAGUCGGGUGUGAAAUCCCCGGGCUCAACCUGGGAACUGCAUCCGAGACUGCAUUGCUAGAGUAUGGGAGAGGGAAGCGGAAUUUCUGGUGUAGCAGUGAAAUGCGUAGAUAUCAGAAGGAACACCGGUGGCGAAGGCGGGUCUCUGGGCCGAUACUGACGCUGGAGGAGCGAAAGCGUGGGGAGCAACAGG